rnacentral:rRNA from 1 species
AGAGUUUGAUCCUGGCUCAGAUUGAACGCUGGCGGAAUGCUUUACACAUGCAAGUCGAACGGCAGCACGGGAGCUUGCUCCUGGUGGCGAGUGGCGAACGGGUGAGUAAUACAUCGGAACAUGCCUAGUCGUGGGGGAUACCGUAGCGAAAGUUACGUUAAUACCGCAUACGUCCUGAGGGAGAAAGCAGGGGAUUCGCAAGAACCUUGCGCGAUUAGAGUGGCCGAUGCCUGAUUAGCUAGUUGGUGAGGUAAUGGCUCACCAAGGCGACGAUCAGUAGCGGGUCUGAGAGGAUGAUCCGCCACACUGGAACUGAGACACGGUCCAGACUCCUACGGGAGGCAGCAGUGGGGAAUUUUGGACAAUGGGGGCAACCCUGAUCCAGCCAUUCCGCGUGAGUGAAGAAGGCCUUCGGGUUGUAAAGCUCUUUCAGCAGGAACGAAACGGUGCGCUCUAACAUAGCGUGCUAAUGACGGUACCUGCAGAAGAAGCACCGGCUAACUGCGUGCCAGCAGCCGCGGUAAUACGUAGGGUGCGAGCGUUAAUCGGAAUUACUGGGCGUAAAGCGUGCGCAGGCGGAUUGUUAAGCAAGAUGUGAAAUCCCCGGGCUUAACCUGGGAAUGGCAUUUUGAACUGGCAGUCUAGAGUGUGUCAGAGGGGGGUGGAAUUCCACGUGUAGCAGUGAAAUGCGUAGAGAUGUGGAGGAACACCAAUGGCGAAGGCAGCCCCCUGGGAUAACACUGACGCUCAUGUACGAAAGCGUGGGUAGCAAACAGGAUUAGAUACCCUGGUAGUCG